AGUGAACGCUGGCGGCAGGCCUAACACAUGCAAGUCGAACGACAGGACAGUAAGAGCUUGCUCUUACGGGUGGCGACUGGCGGACGGGUGAGGAAUGCAUAGGAUUCCUCUUUGACGUGGGUGAUAACGCAGAAAAAGUUCUGCUAAUGCAGCAUACGUCGUACGGGUGGAAGCAGGGGACUUUGGAGCUUUUCGUGUCAGUUUGAGGCGCAGUCGGAUUACCUAGUUGGCGUGGUAAGGGACCACCAAGGCAACGAACCGUAGCUGGCCUGAGAGGAUGAUCAGCCACACUGGAACUGAGACACGGUCCAGACUCCGACGGGAGGCAGCAGUGGGGAAUAUUGCGCAAUGGGCGAAAGCCUGAUCCAGCCAUACCGCGUGAGUGAAGAAGGCCUUCGGAUUGUAAAACCCUGUUGUUAGGAAAGAAGAAAAGUUGGUUAAUCCCGGGCUGUUCUGACGGUACCCAAAGAAUAAGCCCCGGCUAACUUCGUG
rnacentral:rRNA from 1 species